GGUCUGGUGGCCGAGGCGAUAACGGUGCCAGUCUGCCAGACGGCAGGGCCGGGGUUCAAAUCCCAUCUAGACCG
rnacentral:tRNA from 1 species